rnacentral:rRNA from 1 species
UACGGGAGGGUGCAAGCGUUAUCCGGAUUCACUGGGUUUAAAGGGUGCGUAGGUGGGUUGGUAAGUCAGUGGUGAAAUCUCCAGGCUUAACUUGGAAACUGCCAUUGAUACUAUCAAUCUUGAAUACCGUGGAGGUCAGCGGAAUAUGUCAUGUAGCGGUGAAAUGCUUAGAUAUGACAUAGAACACCAAUUGCGAAGGCAGCUGGCUACACGAAUAUUGACACUGAUGCACGAAAGCGUGGGGAUCAAACAGG